rnacentral:rRNA from 1 species
GUUAGUCAACUAAAUAUCAGCAAGAUAUUAAAAGCUAUGUUCUUCAAAUCUAAAGAAUUUGGCGGUAAUUUAGUCCAGUUAGAGGAACCUGUUUGGUAAACGAUAAACCACGAAAAAUCUUACCUACUUUCAAAGUUUGUAUACCGUCAUUAUUAGAUAACUUUCAAUGAAAAAGUUAUUUUAAUAAAUUUAAUUUAAUAUAUUAGAUCAAGGUGCAGCCAAUAAGUAGGUCUUAAUGGGUUACAAUAAAACUUAUUUAUUUACGAAUAUAAAAUGUAAUCAUUUUAUUGAAGGAGGAUUUAAUAGUAAAAUUGGUUUAAUAAGCCUUUUUGAUAAAGGAUCUAAAUUGAGUACAUAUCGCCCGUCGCUUUCAUUCUACAGAUGAAAUAAGUCGUAACAUAG